AAUAACAUGGAACUAACUUCAAUUAUGUUCUUGACUGAACUGUUCCAAACACUCCGCAUUUGUAUCAAAAUAACCAAGAGUAACGAAUGUGUGUAGAGAGCUUUUCAGAUAUGUCGCUCGAAGCAUCAUUUAUUAUAAUUAUACGUUGACUGAAUUAAAUAUAUUCGUAUGAUGUGUGUGUCUGUAUUCUUACAUUCAGGUCGACUUCUGGAUUUUAUAACCGUCGUUGUGUUCAAUAAAAUUAAGGUACUUCCGCGAGCCAAAAUUAUGUACAAGAAAAGCUUCAUAUAUUCACCACUGUACUCAACUGGUUACACAACCAUUCAGUGUAUUAACUAUACAAGGCACAUCUAACACACACAUCCACUCUCAAUGUCAGAAAAGAAUGAUGUUGACUUGAGUGUUAUUUCUAUACUUGAGCAAACACGAUAGGUAUCAUGUUGAAUUUAAAACGAAAAUCUUAAGACUUCAGAUUUGUUUCAAAACACAAUGGUUAACGAUAUGUUGAAAUGUUUUAUCAGAUAAUAAGUCAAAUAAUUUUAAAUUUGGGCAAUGACAGGGAAAUUUCAAUUAUAAAUUAUUUUUGUUUUCCAACAAUGUGUUGUUUACAUUAAAUUGGAAGCAAAAUAUUAAAGGAAAAACUUUUGAUUUUCUGUUGUUGUCACGAAAAGAAAGAGAGUGAAAAAAAAUGAACUAAAUUAAAUUAUUAUAGCGAUAAAGCGACCUAUAGCGCAAAUGUGUAUAUACACUCAGCUGCCUAUAAAAUUAUGCGUCGGAAAGGUUGAUACUGUGGAAAAGUAAACAUUUUAAAAUUAAAUCUCACGACCUAAUCAACACAGAGAAUGUUUACUAAACAAAAAUCGCGGGCGACGUUCAUGCCUAAUUUUCCGAGUCAAGUUUUUGAUGCGAAACUUUUUGUCACCAUACCAAACCAUUUCGGAUAAAUAUAAAGAGUGGUUGGUGGGUCAGUGGUGAAGAGAAAUUUUUGGGCUUUCAUUUAAAAUAAUAUCAAAACACUCCCCGUAUGAAUGGUAUUAUAGUAAUUUAUUGUCAAUAAAUCGCUUUAUCAGUAAUAUAAAGAGCAACAUUUUUUGUAGUCAGCAAUCAAAAUUUGAGCCAGACAACGACCGAUUUCAUUUCACAAAAAAAAAACAAAUUCCUUUUGUACAUUGG